UUUGGCCAGUCUGGACGACCGCAGCGGCUCCAGCCGUGAUGUGUCCCACCACAGACGGUGUCACCAGUUUGUGGCUUUUUUCCCUGUGUUCAUCAGAAGCAACGUGGAGCUCAGCAUCUGUGCGGUUGAUCCAUCGCUGCCUCCAUAUCUGGGUUUAAACGUGUUACCUGCUGACUUCACCGUCGGUAAUUCCUCUGCUAAUAUUGACCUCACUGACACAAUCUGGCCACAGGAGGCAGCAGUGGACCAGCACCUGCUGCUCAGACACGUUUUACUCCCUGAGUCAAAGACACAACUUAGUAUCGACUUGAGAAGAUUCCAGAAAUCAUCUGUGUUAAAAUGGAAAAUUAUAUAAACAGUCACGAGGGCUGGGCUGAGUCAUGGUUCAUCUGAGACAAGAUCGGUCUGAUUGUGUGUAUUCACGGCCGCCGACCUUCGGUGACCCCAGACUCUUUUUACACCGAGUCAUAAAUAGAGUCGAGGAGGCACCAGACUGACACACAG